rnacentral:rRNA from 1 species
UAGUCAUAUGCUUGUCUGAAGGAUUAAGCCAUGCAUGUCUAAGUAUAAACAUUUAUAUUGUGAAACUGCGGACGGCUCAUUAAAUCAGUUAUAGUUUACUUGAUCAUAAUUAUUACAUGGAUAACCGUAGUAAUUCUAGAGCUAAUACAUGCGAAAAAAUAUUUGUUUCCUUCGGGAGGCGAUAUUGAAUUUAUUAGAUUAGAACCGGCGCAAAUGUAUUUAUACAUUUGAGUUAUGGUGAUUCAUAAUAACUAAUCGAAUCGCAACGAUUUUUUAAA